AUUGAACGCUGGCGGCAGGCCUAACACAUGCAAGUCGAACGGUAACAGGAAGAAGCUUGCUUCUUUGCUGACGAGUGGCGGACGGGUGAGUAAUGUCUGGGAAACUGCCUGAUGGAGGGGGAUAACUACUGGAAACGGUAGCUAAUACCGCAUAACGUCGCAAGCCCAAAGAGGGGGACCUUCGGGCCUCUUGCCAUCGGAUUUGCCCAGAUGGGAUUAGCUAGUAGGUGGGGUAACGGCUUACCUAGGCGACGAUCCCUAGCUGGUCUGAGAGGAUGACCAGCCACACUGGAACUGAGACACGGUCCAGACUCCUACGGGAGGAAGCAGUGGGGAAUAUUGCACAAUGGGCGCAAGCCUGAUGCAGCCAUGCCGCGUGUAUGAAGAAGGCCUUCGGGUUGUAAAGUACUUUCAGCGGGGAGGAAGGGAGUAAAGUUAAUACCUUUGCUCAUUGACGUUACCCGCAGAAGAAGCACCGGCUAACUCCGUG
rnacentral:rRNA from 1 species